UACGUAGGGGGCAAGCGUUGUCCGGAUUUAUUGGGCGUAAAGAGCGUGUAGGCGGUUAGGUAGGUCCGUUGUGAAAACUCGAGGCUCAACCUCGAGACGCCGAUGGAAACCAUCUGACUAGAGUCCGGAAGAGGAGAGUGGAAUUCCUGGUGUAGCGGUGAAAUGCGCAGAUAUCAGGAAGAACACCCGUGGCUAAGGCGGCUCUCUAGUACGUGACUGACGCUGAGACGCGAAAGCAUGGGGAGCGAACAGG
rnacentral:rRNA from 1 species